UGACUUAAACCCUCACCAGAGUACCAAUUGGAGGGCAAGUCUGGUGCCAGCAGCCGCGGUAAUUCCAGCUCCAAUAGCGUAUAUUAAACUUGUUGCAGUUAAAAAGCUCGUAGUUGAAUUUCAGCGUUGUUUUCGUGUUCCUUGUUUUUGGGUGACGUCUACUUCGCUUUUUGUUAUUACUUUGAGAAAAUUAGAGUGUUUCAAGCAGGCUUUUGUCUUGAAUACUUGAGCAUGGAAUAAUAGAGUAGGACCUUGGUUCUUCUUUGUUGGUUUUUGUUACCUUGGUAAUGGUUAAUAGGAACGGUUGGGGGCAUUCGUAUUUAACUGUCAGAGGUGAAAUUCUUAGAUUUGUUAAAGACGAACUACUGCGAAAGCAUUUGCCAAGGACGUUUCCAUUAAUCAAGAACGAAAGUUAGGGGAUCGAAGACGAUCAGAUACCGU
rnacentral:rRNA from 1 species